rnacentral:rRNA from 1 species
CAGCAGCCACGGUAAUACGAAGGGGGCUAGCGUUGUUCGGAAUUACUGGGCGUAAAGGGCGCGUAGGCGGCCAUUCAAGUUAGAUGUGAAAGCCCUGGGCUCAACCUAGGAAUUGCAUUUGAUACUGUUUGGCUUGAGUUCGGGAGAGGUGAGUGGAAUUCCCAGUGUAGAGGUGAAAUUCGUAGAUAUUGGGAAGAACACCGGCGGCGAAGGCGGCGACCUGGUCCUUUACUGACGCUGAGGCGCGAAAGCGUGGGGAGCAAACAGGAUUAGAUACCCCCGUAGUCCCUGUCUCUUAUAC